CUUAGUGGAGUUAAAAGUAAUAGAAUAUUCUGACAGGAUUUAUGUUUAGGAUACAAGUCACCCUCGUGUAUUUGCUUUAACUUUGUAUAGCAAGUUUUGUAAUGUAUUAUUGUUUUUCUUCAAAGUUUGUUUUUCAGAAAAACAGAUUUAGGACUUUAAUUUCCCCACAAGAUGGAAGGAAACAACGCGCAUCAAAUAAGCAGUGAGGAUCUGCGGAUUAUGCUGCAGCAGAUACAACAAACCACAAUGCUGCUUGCUGAGAGACUAGAAACAAACCAAGCACCAUCUCCAGUCAGAUUAACCCCAAAUCCUUCCACAGCUACAAGCUCAACAAACCAAACAACUGCAACCAGACCAAACUUUCAGCCUCCUCCAUCACCAAUGUCCCCCUUACCAUCCAGCUCAUACAAUAACUGUCCCUUAACAUUUUCAAACCUAGCACAUCCAACGACUUUGGCCCCUUCAACUCAUCAGCAAGCCCUUGAACGUUACUCUCCUUACCACACUAGUUUCCAAGGGUCAAGAGGAGAUGCAGUUCAGGCGGAUCUUGCGAGGCUUUUUCGCCGAAACAGCACUAUGACUCGUGGAUUUAGAGGAAGUCAAGACAGAAGCAAAAAAAUGGUUCCAUGGAACCACGUUUUUGUCUGCUUGCCAGAGCCGGGUGUGGAUCGUGUUCCUAAAACAGAAGAGGCUAAUUUCUACAAGUCAUGUGGGAUAGGCAAAAAAAUUGUCACCUUUUUGGAUAACCAAGGUGGUCACACCUACCUCACAGAGCGGCUAUAUGAGAGCUUCCCUCCACUUAAAGAAGCAGGCGGCUUUGUGCUGGCAACCGGUGACCGUAGCAAGUCCUUGAAAGAAAUACAAAUCCCCCCAUCUGGGUAUAGCAUCCCAUUCCUACGGCACCACGAACAUGUAAAGCGGGCCCCGCUAUAUAUAAUCCCGUUACAGAAAGAGCUCACUUUGAUUCCCCCUGUGAUGGAGACAUCUCAUGUGAUGCAGAACUGCCUGGGCUGUGGAGUGGACUUUCUACUUUGUGACCUUCCAAAACAUCUGGAAACAUGGUAGAUAUAAUGUCAGGCAAUAUAAUUAUGAGCGGCUUUGACUUGACCCACAUUCUUACAUUUGUUAGCAAAUGGGGAUUUUGUUACAUUAGCACAAUCUACAGUUUAAUUUUAGGCAUAUACAUGGGAUGUACUUGUACUAUAUAACUUGCAGAAUAAAUUAGGUUGAUUGGUACAGAUGUUCUUGAGGUUAGGCAUGU